UUCGGACGUAACCCAUGGGAGAUGG
rnacentral:sRNA from 1 species